GACGAACGCUGGCGGCGUGCUUAACACAUGCAAGUCGAACGGAAAGGCCCUGCUUUUGUGGGGUGCUCGAGUGGCGAACGGGUGAGUAACACGUGAGUAACCUGUCCUUGACUUUGGGAUAACUUCAGGAAACUGGGGCUAAUACCGGAUAGGAGCUCCUGCUGCAUGGUGGGGGUUGGAAAGUUUCGGCGGUUGGGGAUGGAAUCGCGGCGUAUCAGCUUGUUGGUGGGGUAGUGGCUUACCAAGGCUUUGACGGGUAGCCGGCCUGAGAGGGUCACCGGCCACAUUGGGACUGAGAUACGGCCCAGACUCCUACGGGAGGCAGCAGUGGGGAAUGUUGCACAAUGGGCUGAAGCCUGAUGCAGCAACGCCGCGUGCGGGAUGACGGCCUUCGGGUUGUAAACCGCUUUCGCCUGUGACGAAGCGUGAGUGACGGUAAUGGGUAAAGAAGCACCGGCUAACUACGUG
rnacentral:rRNA from 1 species